AAUAUUGGACAAUGGGCGAAAGCCUGAUCCAGCCAUGCCGCGUGUGUGAAGAAGGCCUUCGGGUUGUAAAGCACUUUCAGCGAGGAAGAACGCCUUGGGAUUAAUACUCCCGAGGAAAGACAUCACUCGCAGAAGAAGCACCGGCUAACUCCGUGCCAGCAGCCGCGGUAAUACGGAGGGUGCAAGCGUUAAUCGGAAUUACUGGGCGUAAAGCGCGCCUAGGUGGCUAAGUCAGCCAGGUGUGAAAGCCCCGGGCUCAACCUGGGAACGGCAUCUGGAACUGCUUGGCUAGAGUGCAGGAGAGGAAGGUAGAAUUCCCGGUGUAGCGGUGAAAUGCGUAGAGAUCGGGAGNGNANAUACCAGNUGGCGAAGGCGGCCUUCUGGACUGACACUGACACUGAGGUGCGAAAGCGUGGGUAGCAAACAGGAUUAGAUACCCUGGUAGUCCACGCCGUAAACGAUGUCAACUAGCCGUUGGGUCCCUUGAGGACUUAGUGGCGCAGCUAACGCAAUAAGUUGANCCGCCUGGGGAGUACGGCCGCAAGGUUNAAAACUCAAAUGAAUUGACGGGGGCCCGCACAAGCGGUGGAGCAUGUGGUUUAAUUCGAUGCAACGCGAAGAACCUUACCUACCCUUGACAUCCAGAGGACUUUCCAGAGAUGGAUUGGUGCCUUCGGGAACUCUGAGACAGGUGCUGCAUGGCUGUCGUCAGCUCGUGUUGUGAAAUGUUGGGUUAAGUCCCGUAACGAGCGCAACCCCUAUCCUUAUUUGCCAGCGGGUAAUGUCGGGAACUCUAAGGAGACUGCCGGUGACAAACCGGAGGA
rnacentral:rRNA from 1 species